UACGUAGGGUCCAAGCGUUAUCCGGAAUCACUGGGCGUAAAGCGUGCGUAGGUGGCGUGUUAAGUGUGAUGUUAAAUCGCGGGGCUCAACCCUGUCGGUGCAUCGCAUACUGGCAUGCUAGAGGGAAGCAGAGGCAAGUGGAAUUUGUAGUGUAGCAGUGAAAUGCGUAGAUAUUACAAGGAACACCAAUGGCGAAGGCAGCUUGCUGGGCUUCUUCUGACACUGAGGAGCGAAAGCGUGGGGAGCGAACAGG
rnacentral:rRNA from 1 species